rnacentral:rRNA from 1 species
CCUACGGGUGGCAGCAGUCGAGAAUCAUUCACAAUGGGGGAAACCCUGAUGGUGCGACGCCGCGUGGGGGAAUGAAGGUCUUCGGAUUGUAAACCCCUGUCAUGUGGGCGCAAAUUAAAAAGAUAGUACCACAAGAGGAAGAGACGGCUAACUCUGUGACAGCAGCCGCGGUAAUACAGAGGUCUCAAGCGUUGUUCGGAAGCACUGGGCGUAAAGCGUUCGGAGGCUGUUUCGUAAGUCGUGUGUGAAAGUCGCGGGCUCAACCCGCGGACGGCACAUGAUACUGGGAGACUAGAGUACUGGAGAGGGAACCGGAAUUCUCGGUGUAGCAGUGAAAUGCGUAGAUAUCGGGAGGAACACUAGUGGCGAAGGCGGGUUCCUGGACAUUAACUGACGCUGAGGCACGAAGGCCAGGGGAGCGAAAGGGAUUAGAUACCCUUGUAGUC